UACGUAGGGUGCAAGCGUUAAUCGGAAUUACUGGGCGUAAAGCGUGCGCAGGCGGUUCUAUAAGACAGAUGUGAAAUCCCACGGCUCAACCGUGGAACUGCUCGGUAUACUGGCGAUCUUGGGCCACUUAGGGGCUAGCGGAACAAACGGUGGAGCGGUGAAAUGCGUAGAUAUCGUUUGGAACGCCAAUGGUGAAAACAGCUAGCUGGGAGUGUGCCGACGCUGAGACACGAAAGCCAGGGGAGCGAACGGG
rnacentral:rRNA from 1 species